rnacentral:rRNA from 1 species
AAUAGAUACCCGGGUAGUCCACGCCGUAAACGAUGAGUGCUAAGUGUUAGAGGGUUUCCGCCCUUUAGUGCUGAAGUUAACGCAUUAAGCACUCCGCCUGGGGAGUACGGCCGCAAGGCUGAAACUCAAAGGAAUUGACGGGGGCCCGCACAAGCGGUGGAGCAUGUGGUUUAAUUCGAAGCAACGCGAAGAACCUUACCAGGUCUUGACAUCCUCUGACAACCCUAGAGAUAGGGCUUCUCCUUCGGGAGCAGAGUGACAGGUGGUGCAUGGUUGUCGUCAGCUCGUGUCGUGAGAUGUUGGGUUAAGUCCCGCAACGAGCGCAACCCUUGAUCUUAGUUGCCAUCAUUAAGUUGGGCACUCUAAGGUGACUGCCGGUGACAAACCGGAGGAAGGUGGGGAUGACGUCAAAUCAUCAUGCCCCUUAUGACCUGGGCUACACACGUGCUACAAUGGACGGUACAAAGAGCUGCAAGACCGCGAGGUGGAGCUAAUCUCAUAAAACCCGUUCUCAGUUCGGAUUGUAGGCUGCAACCG